UUAACAAACCUUUUCGUAGCCUAAUUACGCCUCAGACAGAAAGUUUUCAGUUGUACCGAAUCGAAGAAAUCGUUUUUUCUUACGUUUAGUUGGAAAAGAAGAUUUUACUCAGCAGAUUUUUGGAAACAAUCAAUCAAUUUUCUUUUCUCACAUUUAGUGAGAAUAGAAAAUUUUACUCCUGGAAGCGGAUGUAUCCGUGGAAGCAAUCAAAUAACGCUAGUAAUAAAAGGCGCUGAGUUUUGCAAUAUUUCAUCAGUUCUUCAAAAGAAAUAACAUGAACAAGUCAGCACUUCUAAUCCUGCUUCUGAUCGGACUCCUUGUCCUCACUGAAACUACAAAUGCUGAAUGGGGUCGUCGCCGUAACGAUACAUACCGUCGCAGAUGGGGCUCGUCAUGGGAUCAAAAACAAACGAAACCCGAUGCCCUUGAAUACAUGGAUCUGCUCGGAGACUUGAAUUUCUAAGACGUGUAAUAGCUGCAAAACGUACGAUUAUAAUAAAUUGAACAACAGCAAAACAUA